CCAAAGGCUCUUUUAAGGGCCAUCUACUUGAAUCCAAAAAAAGGGCU
rfam:Scleropages formosus scaffold19142, whole genome shotgun sequence.